GACGAACGCUGGCGGCGUGCUUAACACAUGCAAGUCGAACGGUAACAGGCCCUUCGGGUGCUGACGAGUGGCGGACGGGUGAGUAAUGCUUAGGAAUCUGCCUAGUAGUGGGGGAUAACCCGGGGAAACGUCGGGCUAAUACCGUAUACGUCCGUAAGGAGAAAGAUUCAUCGCCCCUACGACGGGCCCGCCGUCGGAUUAGCUAGUUGGUAAGGUAAUGGCUUACCAAGGCUACGAUCCGUAACCGGCCUGAGAGGGCGGCGGUCACACUGACACUGACAUACGGGU
rnacentral:rRNA from 1 species